UGUAAAGUUCUGCACUUAGGCAGAAGAAACCAGCUGCACCAAUAUAGGAUGGGGGGCACCUGGCUCACUAGCAGGACAUGUGGAAAGGAUCUGGGGUCUUGGUGGACCACAAGCUGAAGAUGAGUCCACAGGGUGAGGCAGCAGCAAAAAAAGCCCAAAUACUAGAAGUCUAGUGUCCAGAUCAAGGGAAGUAAGAGUCCCACUCUAUUCUGCCUUGGUCAGACCACACCUGGAACACUGUGUCCAGUUCUGGGCAUCACAAUUUAAG